AGUGAACGCUGGCGGUAGACCUAACACAUGCAAGUCGAACGGCAGCACAGUAAGAGCUUGCUCUUACGGGUGGCGAGUGGCGGACGGGUGAGGAAUACAUCGGAAUCUACUUUUUCGUGGGGGAUAACGUAGGGAAACUUACGCUAAUACCGCAUACGACCUACGGGUGAAAGCAGGGGAUCUUCGGACCUUGCGCGAUUGAAUGAGCCGAUGUCGGAUUAGCUAGUUGGCGGGGUAAAGGCCCACCAAGGCGACGAUCCGUAGCUGGUCUGAGAGGAUGAUCAGCCACACUGGAACUGAGACACGGUCCAGACUCCUACGGGAGGCAGCAGUGGGGAAUUUUGGACAAUGGGCGCAAGCCUGAUCCAGCCAUACCGCGUGGGUGAAGAAGGCCUUCGGGUUGUAAAGCCCUUUUGUUGGGAAAGAAAAGCAGCAGGUUAAUACCCCGCUGUUCUGACGGUACCCAAAGAAUAAGCACCGGCUAACUUCGUG
rnacentral:rRNA from 1 species